rnacentral:tRNA from 1 species
GGGUGAUUAGCUCAGCUGGUUAGAGCGUCUCGUUUACACCGAGAAGGUCAAAGGUUCGAAUCCUUUAUCACCCA